rnacentral:tRNA from 1 species
CCAAAGUGCAAAUUUGGUAACGCACCCGGAAAGGUGCCGGGGCCUCUCCCCC